GUUCUUCCUGUGCACUCCCUCGCAGAACUCCAGGGUGGCAGGCAGCCAUUCUCUGUGUGGGAGUAGAGAGACAGAGCAUAAAUCCGCCUCCCAUAACUCACUCUGCACAGGAAAACUCUUGCAGGCAGUGUGAAGUCAGAAAUCCCCCAUGUGCACUCUCUGUCUCUAACUGAGCAGGGAAGACACUGCAGUGAGAGCUCAGCUUGUCUUUCAUAUCCAAGGUGAGAGGAGAGUCCUGGCACCUUG